GAUGAACGCUGGCGGCGUGCCUAAUACAUGCAAGUCGAGCGAACAGACGAGGAGCUUGCUCCUCUGACGUUAGCGGCGGACGGGUGAGUAACACGUGGAUAACCUACCUAUAAGACUGGGAUAACUUCGGGAAACCGGAGCUAAUACCGGAUAAUAUAUUUAACCGCAUGGUUCAAUAGUGAAAGACGGUUUUGCUGUCACUUCUAGAUGGAUCCGCGCCGCAUUAGCUAGUUGGUAAGGUAACGGCUUACCAAGGCAACGAUGCGUAGCCGACCUGAGAGGGUGAUCGGCCACACUGGAACUGAGACACGGUCCAGACUCCUACGGGAGGCAGCAGUAGGGAAUCUUCCGCAAUGGGCGAAAGCUUGACGGAGCAACGCCGCGUGAGUGAUGAAGGUCUUCGGAUCGUAAAACUCUGUUAUUAGGGAAGAACAAAUGUGUAAGUAACUAUGCACGUCUUGACGGUACCUAAUCAGAAAGCCACGGCUAACUACGUG
rnacentral:rRNA from 1 species